AUUGAACGCUGGCGGCAGGCCUAACACAUGCAAGUCGAGCGGCAGCGGGAAAGUAGCUUGCUACUUUUGCCGGCGAGCGGCGGACAGGUGAGUAAUGCCUGGGAAAUUGCCCAGUCGAGGGGGAUAACAGUUGGAAACGACUGCUAAUACCGCAUACGCCCUACGGGGGAAAGCAGGGGACCUUCGGGCCUUGCGCGAUUGGAUAUGCCCAGGUGGGAUUAGCUAGUUGGUGAGGUAAUGGCUCACCAAGGCGACGAUCCCUAGCUGGUCUGAGAGGAUGAUCAGCCACACUGGAACUGAGACACGGUCCAGACGCCUACGGGAGGCAGCAGUGGGGAAUAUUGCACAAUGGGGGAAACCCUGAUGCAGCCAUGCCGCGUGUGUGAAGAAGGCCUUCGGGUUGUAAAGCACUUUCAGCGAGGAGGAAAGGUUGGUGCCUAAUACGUGUCAACUGUGACGUUACUCGCAGAAGAAGCACCGGCUAACUCCGUGCCAGCCGCCGCAGUAACAC
rnacentral:rRNA from 1 species